GCGAUUUUGAAGUUCAUAGAUUUUAAUACAAUAAUUUCAAACAUCAAGGGCAAAAUGAUCUCAAUACAUUCACACCCCUUCAUCUUCCCUUACAUGCGAAGGUUCCAUAUCGAUUUUUUCUUUUAAAAACUCCAUUUUUCCAUUCUUCCAUUUGUACAAAAUUUUCUCCCUUCUCCUGGCGUAUGCUCUCCUCUCAUCUCGUAGCAUGUAGUGGAACAACGUAGUGAGAAUAUUUUGAAGAACAGAGGUAAGAGACAUUACAGAUUGGGUAUUUUUCUUUUCAUUUUGCAUUUUGUUGUUCUGCAUGACUGUAAAUAUGUGUGGAGUUUUAAUGCUAUUUAUCAUUCUUAUAUAGACCUUCGAGGAGCAAAUUUUUCUUCCGUUUUUGAGAAAUCCCGACAACGAGUGACUCAUUUAUGGCAUAAUGUUCAUUCCUUAAAUUUCUGGCUGAAUUCAUUUGAAUUCAACAAUGCAUUCACAUAAUUUCAGUGUCCAAUCCCCCAAUUUAUGCCCAUUGAAGUUUGAUGCAUUCAGUGCUCCCCAAUUUAUUACUUGAAGAUCAAAAUGAAGAACCAAUGGGGAAAGAAGUUGAAGGUUUGGUAGAAUCCAAUUAUGAGAUAGAAGCAGAAGUAAUAGCAAGAUCUUGUAGGUACUGCUGAAACUAGGAGUCAAAGAGUUCAUUUUGAUUUUGGGUUUGGUUUAGGGAAUGCGUAGCAGGUUAGGGAUUUCGACACCGACUACGGGGACUCUAAUGAUUUACAGAACAUUCAUAGUGAAGAAGAAGGCGAUACAACUUCAAGAAGUAGGGUCUCCAAUGAUGCUUUCAACAUGGUGUCAGAUGUAGAGGAUCCAAUGUUCAAGCUAGGUAACUGGAACAUAUUCUCUACUUUUGUUUACAUCUAUUUUGCACUUUAGUUAAAUGAGGUCUAUAUGUAUUAAUUUUUUUUAUUGUGCAGGCUUAGUAUUUGAGUUAGAGUUGGUAUUAAAGGCUGCCAUUAAUGAAUAUUCAGUUAGAAGCAAUAGAGAGAUCAAAUUUAAAAAGGAUGACACUCAUAGAUUGAGGGCCAAGUACAAGGGAGAUUGAUCGUGGGUAUUGUAUGCUACCAGAGAGCAUAAUAAGACCAGUUUUAUGAUCGAAACGUUUAUCGAGGACCAUACUUGCCCUAUGGUGUAUAAGAACUUCAGAGUGACCUCAACCUAUUCGGUAGCUAGGUAUUUAUCCGACUGGAGGGCUGAUGUGAAAAUUUCUGUUAGUACAUUCAUUGAAAGGGUUAAGUGGGAUGAUUUGGGUGAUAUCUCAUCUUGGCAAGUGUAUAGAACAAAGAAGAAGGGACUUGAAAAAAUUUGAGGGAGUGUGGUGAAGCAUCAUAAAAUGCUGUAGGAUUAUUGUGAGGAGUUGAAGAGGACGAAUGUUGGGACCACAACUGUAGUUAAGGGACAUGCUGGAGAAUUCAGAUGGCUCUACAUUUGCCUUAGGACAUUGAGGAAUGGUUUCAUUAGGGGCUGCAAAAGGGUGAUUGGCGUAGAUGGUUGCUUUUUGAAAACAGACAUGUUGGGCAAUUAUUGACUGCAAUCGGUGUUGAUGCUAACAAUGGUAUGUAUCCAGUGACAUACGCGGUUGUUGAAGUUGAGAAUGGGGAAAAUUAGAGAUGGUUCUUGGAGCUAUUGAAGGACGAUUUGCAUAUACACAAUAGUUAGCACUAGACAUUCAUUUUUGAUAAGCAAAAGAUUUGACUAAUGCACUUGAGUCAUUGUUUGAGAAUUCAGAGCACAAAAAGUGCGUUUGACAUCUAUACAACAAUUUUAGUGUGUGUCACAAGGGAUUGGCUAGAAUUGUUUAUGGGAUGCAGCUAGAACCAUGACUGUAUCACAAUGGUUGCAGCACAUACAACGUAUGUUGGACUUGGACCCGACUGCUUAUAGCUGGCUUGAAUCGAAACCAGUUGCUCAUUAGAGCAAAUCCCACUUUAGAGAGUGGAAUUAAUGUAACAUGCUUCUCAACAAUUUAUGUGAGUCGUUUAAUAGCACAAUUGUGAAUGCAAGAAAGAAGCCCAUAUUGAACAUGCUAGAGGAGAUAAGGGUAUAUUUGAUGAAGAUAAUGUUAGCCCGUAGGAAGUCUUGUGAUUGGUGGACAGCAGUAGUGGGACUUAGAAUUUAGAAGAUUCUAGAAAAUAAUAGUAAGCUUGCAAGGAAGGUAUGGGUUGAAUACGCAUGUAAUGAAAAGUUCAAGUUCAACACAAUGUCAAGACCAUACUGCACGUUGUAGAUUUAAGGGCAAGAACCUAUGCAUGUCGUGGUUGGCAGCUAUUUAGAAUUCCCUGUUGCCAUGUGAUGGCCUCAGUUGUACCUAGAGGCCUUAAUGUAAUGGAGUUCGUAGAUGAUGUCUACAAGAAGGAUCCAUAUGUCAGGACAUACAUACCAUCAAAUUCUCCCAUCACUAAGUGUAGACUCAUGGCCUACCCUAGGCCUCAACCCUUUAGAUCCACCAGUGUACACAUGGAAGCCAAAGAAAAAUAGAAGAAAAGAGGCAAAUGAGGUAGCUUCUUCAAGUCAACCCAAGAGGUAGUGUCAAUAUUUCGCAGACAUCUUCAGGAACACCAGCUGGUUAAUGUGAAAGAUCG
rnacentral:lncRNA from 1 species